GACGAACUGUGCGAACGUUGUUCGGAAUCACUGGGCUUAAAGGGUGCGUAGGCGGCUCGUUAAGUCGGGGGUGAAAUACUUCGGCUCAACCGGAGAAUUGCCUUCGAUACUGGCGGGCUUGAGGAAGGUAGGGGUGAGUGGAACUGCGAGUGUAGAGGUGAAAUUCGUAGAUAUUCGCAAGAACACCAGUGGCGAAGGCGGCUCACUGGCCCGGUACUGACGCUGAGGUGCGAAAGCGUGGGGAGCAAACAGG
rnacentral:rRNA from 1 species